rnacentral:rRNA from 1 species
UACGUAGGGUGCAAGCGUUGUCCGGAAUUAUUGGGCGUAAAGAGCUCGUAGGCGGUUUGUUGCGUCGGCUGUGAAAUCCCGAGGCUCAACCUCGGGUCUGCAGUCGAUACGAGCAAACUAGAGUGUUGCAGGGGAGACUGGAAUUCCUGGUGUAGCGGUGAAAUGCGCAGAUAUCAGGAGGAACACCGGUGGCGAAGGCGGGUCUCUGGGCAACAACUGACGCUGAGGAGCGAAAGCGUGGGCAGCGAACAGG